rnacentral:rRNA from 1 species
UGGGGAAUAUUGCACAAUGGGGGAAACCGUGAUGCAGCCAUACCGCGUGUGUGAAGAAGGCCUUCGGGUUGUAAAGCACUUUCAGUUGUGAGGAAAGUUUAGUAGUUAAUACCUGCUAGAUGUGACGUUAGCAACAGAAGAAGCCCCGGCUAACUCCGUGCCAGCAGCCGCGGUAAUACGGAGGGUGCGAGCGUUAAUCGGAAUUACUGGGCGUAAAGCGCCCGCAGGCGGUCUGUUAAGCUAGAUGUGAAAGCCCCGCGCUCAACGUGGGAGGGUCAUUUAGAACUGGCAGACUAGAGUCUUGGAGAGGGGAGUGGAAUUCCAGGUGUAGCGGUGAAAUGUGUAGAGAUCUGGAGGAACAUCAAUGGCGAAGGCAACUCCCUGGCCAAAGACUGACGCUCAUGUGCGAAAGUGUGGGUAGCGAACAGGAUUAGAUACCCUGGUAGUCCACACCGUAAACGCUGUCUACUAGCUGUUUGUGAAUUUAAUUCGUGAGUAGCGAAGCUAAC